rnacentral:sRNA from 1 species
GCUGGGCUUGGUGGCCCGCUCCUGUAAUCCCAGCAGCUUGGGAGGCUGAGGCACGAGGAUCCAGAGUUCAACGUCAACCUCAGCAACAUUGAGGCGCUAAGCAACUCAGUGAGACCCUGUCUCUA